rnacentral:tRNA from 4 species
GCGCCUGUAGCUCAGGGGAUAGAGCAACGGAUUCCUAAUCCGUGUGCCGCAGGUUCGAUUCCUGCCAGGCGCACCA